AGUGUUUUAUGGAGGAUUAGAGCUGAGAUCCUACAGCUGACAGUUCUGACUGAUUGGACGCCACACAGAUAGCAGGGCCUUUAAUGGAUCUGCACUGGGAGAAGCAGCACAGGGAGGGACCAAAGAACUACAGACUCUUCACAACCUGCUCAAACUCUUGGUACAGGACCUCACCACACGGGUCAAGAAGGUUUCCAUCUCAUUUCUACUCUGAAGCUCACCUUCUCCUGCUCAAACUGCUGACAAAUGUUUCUGCUGCUGUAAGGUCUGGUAUCCAGAACUUCCUAAAAACUCUGAAAGUCUCUUCUGCUGCAGGUUGCUUUGUAGAACUGUUGCAGAAAACCUCACUAAACCACACGGAGG
ensembl:lncRNA